rnacentral:snRNA from 1 species
AUCUCUAAUCUCUGAUCUUUGUCUAAGGUGAAGUUUAACAUCUGUUCUUAUCGGUUAAAUAUCUUUUACAUCCUUGACUUGAUGAUAUCAUAUUAAACAGAUUUUUGGGUCCAAAAAAUGGGUUAGGACUCUUUCUAUGUGCAUUUUCCUGUUAUUGCAGUGUCUCCAGAAGCGGCACACCAAGG